AUCGGCCCGGAACCAGGCGCCCGCCGGAGGACCCAAACCCUUGUAUUAUAGUGGCAUAUUCUGAGUCUCACAAGAAAAUGAAUUAAAACUUUCAACAACGGAUCUCUUGGCUCUGGCAUCGAUGAAGAACGCAGCGAAAUGCGAUAAGUAAUGUGAAUUGCAGAAUUCAGUGAAUCAUCGAAUCUUUGAACGCACAUUGCGCCCGCCAGUAUUCUGGCGGGCAUGCCUGUUCGAGCGUCAUUUCAACCCUCAAGCCCCAGCGGCUUGGUGUUGGGGACCGGCCCCGGCCGCCCCCCAAAUGCAGUGGCGACCUCGCCGCAGCCUCCCCUGCGUAGUAGCACAACCUCGCACCGGAGCGCGGAGACGGUCACGCCGUAAAACGCCCAACUUCUUAGAGUUGACCUCGGAUCAGGUAGGAAUACCCGCUGAACUUAAGCAUAUCAAUA
rnacentral:rRNA from 1 species